AAUCCGUCAAUCGUGUUUGGUCAAUCGGAGGAUUUGUAUCGGAAAACGUCGGCAACGGGGAUAAAGGGGAACUCGUGGAAGUGGUGUUCCAACAGGUUAUCAAAUUAAUGCGGACUCGAAGUUGUAAGUCCUGGAGCAUCCCCAUUGAUUCAGAAACUAACCCAGCUACCGCCAAAGUAGCCAAAGAACCUUUAAUUGCGUUUUGCAGCUUUCUGCAUAUCUUAGCAGUGCCAUGAAGUCAAUGAGGUGCUGAUCAAAGUAGUCGAUUGUAACUACAGAAGGUAUCUGGUUGGAGAUUAUAUAUGCGAAGAAUAACUGCAUCUAAGGAUUUUGGCUCUUGUCCAAUUAUUCCUCGAACUAAAGUGCAUUAUAGCUACAUGUGGAAUAAAGAAUAUAAUUGCUAAUUACCAGAUUCCCAACCAAGAUUGUGCUAGUCUUGCUGAUCCCUCCAAAGAUCAAAAUUCCAAUGGAUUCAAGUCACAUGUUCAUUCGAUGUUACCUCUUUGAAAUUCGAGACUCUUCCAUAUUUAUAUGCACGAACAAACCUCAAAUGUUAGUU